rnacentral:snRNA from 1 species
GUGCUCACUUCGGCAGCACAUACACUGAAAUCGGAAUGAUACAGAAGAUUAGCAUGGCCCCUGUGCAAGGAUGACGCGCAAAUUCGUGAAGCGUUUCAUAUUUAA